rnacentral:misc_RNA from 1 species
AACGCAUAUUGCGCUCUUUGGUAUUCCGAAGAGCAUGCUUGUUUGAGUAUCAGUAAACACCUCAAAGAAUUUUCAUUUUUGAAAUGACUUUGGACUUGAGCAAUCCCAACACCAGUCUUCACGGAUCGGCGGAGGGUUGCUUGAAAUGCAGGUGCAGCUGGACAUUCUCCUGAGCUAAAAGCAUAUCUAUUUAGUCCCGUCAAACGGAUUAUUACUUUUGCUGCAGCUAACAUAAAGGGAGUUUGACCGUUUUGGCUGACUGAUGCAGGAUUUCACAAGGGUCGGUAAAACGAUUUUUGUAAAACUCGAUCUCAAAUCAAGUAAGACUACCCGCUGAACUUAA